GACGUAGGGUGCGAGCGUUGUCCGGAUUUAUUGGGCGUAAAGAGCGUGUAGGCGGCCAGACAGGUCAGCUGUGAAAACUCGAGGCUCAACCUCGAGACGUCGGUUGAAACCGUCUGGCUAGAGUCCGGAAGAGGAGAGUGGAAUUCCCGGUGUAGCGGUGAAAUGCGCAGAUAUCGGGAAGAACACCCGUGGCGAAGGCGGCUCUCUGGGACGGUACUGACGCUGAGACGCGAAAGCGUGGGGAGCGAACAGG
rnacentral:rRNA from 1 species